ncrna:Mus musculus (house mouse) microRNA mmu-mir-28a precursor
CCUACCUUCAAGGAGCUCACAGUCUAUUGAGUUGCCUUUCUGAUUCUCCCACUAGAUUGUGAGCUGCUGGAGGGCAGG